GGAGAGGUGGCCGAGCUGGCCGAAGGCGCUCGCCUGCUAAGCGGGUAUGGGCCUUAAAAGCCCAUCGAGGGUUCGAAUCCCUCCCUCUCCGCCA
rnacentral:tRNA from 1 species